GACCCCUUAGCUCAGUGGUAGAGUAUGAGAUUCCAGCACUUGGCUUGGUUCCUCAGGGUCAUCCGUUCAAUCCGGGUAGGGGUCA